GAUGAACGCUAGCGAUAGGCUUAACACAUGCAAGUCGAGGGGCAGCAUGGUCUUAGCUUGCUAAGACUGAUGGCGACCGGCGCACGGGUGCGUAACGCGCAUGCAACUUGCCUCACAGAGGGGGAUAACCCGUCGAAAGACGGACUAAUACCGCGUACACUUGGGAUAGGGCAUCCUGACCCAAGGAAAUGAAAUUCGCUGUGAGAUAGGCAUGCGUCCCAUUAGCUAGUUGGUGAGGUAACGGCUCACCAAGGCGACGAUGGGUAGGGGAACUGAGAGGUUGAACCCCCACACUGGUACUGAGACACGGACCAGACUCCUACGGGAGGCAGCAGUGAGGAAUAUUGGUCGAUGGGCGAGAGCCUGAACCAGCCAAGUCGCGUGAAGGAUGACUGUCUUAUGGAUUGUAAACUUCUUUUAUACGGGAAUAACAAGAGCCACGUGUGGCUCCCUGCAUGUACCGUAUGAAUAAGCAUCGGCUAACUCCGUG
rnacentral:rRNA from 1 species